rnacentral:rRNA from 1 species
UAGGGAAUCUUCGGCAAUGGACGAAAGUCUGACCGAGCAACGCCGCGUGAGUGAAGAAGGUUUUCGGAUCGUAAAACUCUGUUGUUAGAGAAGAACAAGGACGUUAGUAACUGAACGUCCCCUGACGGUAUCUAACCAGAAAGCCACGGCUAACUACGUGCCAGCAGCCGCGGUAAUACGUAGGUGGCAAGCGUUGUCCGGAUUUAUUGGGCGUAAAGCGAGCGCAGGCGGUUUCUUAAGUCUGAUGUGAAAGCCCCCGGCUCAACCGGGGAGGGUCAUUGGAAACUGGGAGACUUGGGUGCAGAAGAGGAGAGUGGAAUUCCAUGUGUAGCGAUGAAAUGCGUAGAUAUAUGGAGGAACACCAGUGGCGAAGGCGGCUCUCUGGUCUGUAACUGACGCUGAGGCUCGAAAGCGUGGGGAGCAAACAGG